CUUGUUUGAACAAGGAGGCAGUUUUUCAAGGCCUCCCAUUUAAUCCCAGUGUGAUUUAACACCUAUAGUCUAAAAAGCUUUUUUAAAAGAUUAAAUCAAAGUUUUAGUUUUAUAUUCUCUCUAUCCACAGAAUUAAUGAAGAAUUUCCUUGUAGUCUAAAAAAUCACCAAGGGUAUUCGUACCCUCCAAAUAGAUCUGAGUGGGAAAAAGCAGCUGGAGAAGGAAGCGUACGGUGUGAUGCUACUGAUAUGGAGUUUCAAUUCACACCAGUUAUGCUACGUAUUUUUCAAGACGACAUGUAGCAAAAGGCUUACCAUAUGCAUGGGGCAAGGAGAAGGACAAAAACCAGUUUUUCAAGUCCAAGGUAUUUAAUAAUUAAUCUCAGGUACACCAGUACUUUCCAGAGAAUCAUCUCAAGAGUCCCUUGGACUGCAAGGAAAUCAAACCAGUCAAUCCUAAAGGAAAUCAACCCUGAAUAUUCAUUGGAAGAACUGAUGUUGGAGCCGAAGCUCCAAUACUUUGGCCACCUGAUGCGAAGAUCACUGGAAGAGAACCUGAUGUUGGGAAAAAUUGAGGGCAAGAGGAGAAUGGGGCAGCAGAGGGUGAGAUGGCUCAAAGGACAUGGGUUUGAGCAAACUCCAGGAGAUGAACUUGGCAACUGAGCAAAAACUAAAACACUUUCCCUCAAAGGUUGGCUCCUUAAAGACUCCAGAACCAGUCAGCCCUUUCAGUCUACAGAUUAGAAGCUGCUGCUUCUGCUUCUAGUAGAAACGGAAGGGGUAAUUCGACUCACCUACAGUCCUAAGCCCAGCCUACACUCCAACUGAGAGCUGGUCAGAGGAGGAAUGUAUUUAAGCACAGGAGCCCUACCAUGCCACGACAUCUGAACUCCCGGCCUUAGCAGCUCAAGGAAUAAUGAGUGCGGACUCCAGGCCACUGGCAGUGGGAUUCCUGGCUGCGAGAGAGCCUGUGGGGCUUCCAAUUAUGGAUACCACAAAUGGACCCAAAAGCAGGGCCCCUUGGCUUGGAUGCUGUACUCAUAGGUGCCCCUGUCUAGAAGGCACUCCCUGACUAAUAACAAAGGGCCUGGAAGAAAGAUGUUUCCCACCACGGAAGAAAAUAUCAAGAGAAUUCUUUAGGUGAGUGUUCCUGAGUGAGCCUGAGCUAUUUCCUGAUUUUAAUUUUUAAAUUAAGUUAAUUGUCACUGGGUUAUAGUUGCUUUACAAUGUCAUGUUAGUUUCUACUGAACAGCAAAGUGGAUCAGCUAUGCAUAUCCAUAUAUCCCCUUUUUGGAUUCCCUUCCCAUUUAGGUCACCACAGAGCACUGAGUGGAGUUCCCUGUACUAUCAGGAGAUUCUCAUUCAUUAUCUAUCCUACAUAUAGUAGUGCAUAUAUGUCCAUCCUAAUCUCCCAGCUCAUCCCAUCCUUGCCUGUGCCCGCUUUCUGAGCUACUUCCCCUUGCUGAAGAGUGGAGCCACAGUAGAAUCCCCAGGGGACUUCCCCAGUAGUCCAGUGAUCAGGACUUCUGCUUCCACUGCAGGGUGGGGACUAUGUUCCUCUUUGUGCAGGAACUAAGAUCCUGCCUGCUGCACACUAUGGCCAAAAAAAAAAAGCACCAGACAAGCUUCUAAACGUGAACUUGUAUGUAGCUUCUGUGUAUGAUCCUAGGCUAGGAAAGAGCCUCACCAGCUAGGGCCCGCAGCAGAGCAGGAGAGGGCAGGGCUCAUGAAGGCUAGGAGAAAGGCCUGAUGUGGCUCCACCUCCC
ensembl:lncRNA